UAACUCAGCAGGUCAGGCUACACUUUUGGAGAACACGAACAGGUGAUAUUUUAGGUCGGGAGGAAGGGUCCCAACCCAAGUCACCUAUCCUUAUUCUCCAUAUGUGCAGCCUGAUCUGUGAGUUACUCUUGCACUUUGUGUCCUUUUGUGUGAACCAGCAUCUACAGUUCUUUGUUUCUCAAUAUUAUUGUAAAUGUGUGCGUGAAUUUGAAUCUGGAGCAUUACAGAAUCAAUGUACCGAUAUAGGAAUUGAAGAUUUUAUGUACUGAAAAUAUUUUUGUAUUAACAGGAACUUAGGAUAUAUUAAUCUUUUCUGUUACAGCAGGAAAUUCAACCUCUACUAAUCUAAUACACUAAUACAUUUGCACAUAUCCUUUCUGUGCUCUCAAUGCAUGGCAGCUUUUCACAACUAAUAAUGUGCUUCUGGCAUCAGCUGUGCCUUAGGAACAAAAAUGGCCAUCCUAGGUAAAACAGUGAUGAUGUGAAGUGGAGCCUUUCAUCUGAAGCUUGGUCAAUACUUCAACCAGGAACUGUGGGAGGUAUUGUAGCUUCUUAAUUACAGGACAGCCAAGUGAAAACUACCAUCCAACAGAGUUGUUGUGCUUCAACUGCUCAUCUGCCACGUCUAUAUAUUACAAUUGUGACAUCCACUGCAUUUGUUUUACUCAUCAUUUACCCAAAUAUAACAAUGUUAUCAGAAUAUUUGUGUUUUAUGUUUGAACAGAAAAGCAAUAGUUGGUUCAAUUAGCCGUUGUAAAACUGCAUUGAUUUUUGUUAGUCUUUGAAAUUACUAUUCACUUGUGCUCUAUGUAAUCUUAAGUAAUAAAAUACUCCCGGCAACA